rnacentral:piRNA from 1 species
UGCAUGUUUCUUUUUGUUCCUCAG